GAACACCGACAAAAUAGCCGCUAAAAGUGGAGCUAGAAAACUGCCCUUGAAAAGAAACACAAACACCCACCGCAAUUUCUCUCCCAGUCUCUGUGGCAGUGUUGUGUUAGCUUUACCCCUGAAACACAAAUAGAACCAGUCGAUUUCACGACUUCUUUCUAGUUAUGUUAUGCUUCCUAGAGUUUUCGUUUUUUACUAUUUUUCGUAAUCUUGACAGUGCAUUUUCUUGUUUACUUUUAUAUUUGUAUCCUUCUUUUUUUUUUCUUUUACCAGUAUUUUGUUCAGCUUUUAGUUGCAGCUGAAUCUGUUUAGUUUAAGAUCUGUGGUUUGGUUUUCUAAGGUUGGUCAGUGGUUGUUAUCUUUUGUUUUUGGGAGGGGAGAAUGGGUCUCCAAUUCUUUAUUUUUUCUUGAUUUUCUCUGGGUGUUCUUAUUGUUUUGUCCAAGUUACUCUCUCUCUCUCUCUCUGGAUUUUUUUCAUUGUUUCUUUGGUUUUUUUCCUGGAUUUACUUCUUCGCAAUUCUGUGUUAUACAGAUGGGUUGUUUUUCUUGCAUGAGUCCUCGAAGGGACAUAAACAAAAUUGAAGACAGUAACCGCAUUCAAUCUCGCUCUCGCCAUUGUCGUACUUCUUCAGAGAGUAGUAGUAAGGGAAAGGCAAGUAGUGAACGAGUCAAGGGAAAAGGAUCGCUCAAUAGUAAGGGCAAAGACAGAGAUAACAAACACAAUGCAGCUCAAAGCUUUACAUUUCGCGAGCUUGCCACCGCCACAAAAAAUUUUAAGGCCACUAAUUUGAUCGGGGAAGGGGGUUUCGGGAGGGUCUACAAAGGGCGCUUGGAAACAGGCCAGAUUGUUGCAGUCAAACAACUGGAUCAAAAUGGCCUUCAGGGGAAUCAGGAAUUUAUUGUUGAGGUUCUUAUGCUCAGCCUCUUGCACCAUUCCAAUCUUGUCAACUUGAUAGGAUAUUGCACUGAUGGCGAUCAAAGGUUAUUGGUUUAUGAGUACAUGCCGAUGGGAAGCUUGGAAGAUCAUCUGUUUGAUCUGACUCCUAACAAAGAACCACUUGAGUGGAACACACGGAUGAAGAUUGCCGUUGGUGCUGCUCGAGGCCUUGAGUAUCUGCAUUGCAAAGCAAACCCCCCUGUUAUUUACCGUGACUUGAAAUCAGCAAACAUCUUGUUAGACAAUGAUUUCAAUCCCAAGCUCUCUGAUUUUGGACUUGCUAAACUGGGACCUGUUGGUGACAACACUCAUGUUUCAACAAGGGUGAUGGGGACAUAUGGAUACUGUGCCCCAGAAUAUGCCAUGAGUGGAAAGCUGACACUCAAAUCUGAUGUCUAUAGUUUUGGUGUUGUUCUGUUGGAAUUGAUCACAGGGAGGAAGGCCAUCGACUGUACUAAGGUUCAGGGAGAGCAGAAUCUAGUUUCUUGGUCUCGGCCAUUCUUUAAGGACCGCAGGAAGUUUGUUCAGUUAGUUGAUCCUCAGCUGCAAGGGCGAUUCCCUCUCCGUUGUUUGCACCAUGCAAUUGCCAUAACAGCAAUGUGCCUUCAGGAACAGCCAACUUUUCGUCCUCUCAUUGCUGAUAUUGUUGUUGCGCUUGAGUAUCUGGCAUCUCAGCCUUUCAAAGCAGACAUCCCACCAGCAUCAUCUCCCUCACAACGAGAUAAUUAUGUAUUUUCUCAGGAAUCCAAUUCUAUAAAGAAUUCUACAUCUGUUUAAUGGCUUUAUCAUACAAUUAGAUUCAGUUCCGAUAACUGGAGGUACAAGUAAAUUGUACAAGGUCCUUUGCAUUGGUUUGUUACAGAAGCCAAAUUCCUAUGAGAAGAAACAAGGAAUCCCCCCUUGCUGCUAUCAACAUGAAGGAUAAAGGAAACCUGUUCCCAGUAUAUGUUUAUUAAUAUGCAUAUAAGAAUGAAUGUACAUAUGAAUAUGUAUAUGAACAUAUGGAUUGGGCUGAUGAAAUCAGGACAUAAUCUAUACGAGAGUGUUUGGUGGGGAUGUUGGGAUUGGGAAGAAAGAUCAAGUUUCUCGGGUGUGCAUGUAUGCAUGCACGUGUGCCUUUUGUUUGCAUCUUCAGGAAACCUGUUCAGCUAUCUAAGAAUGUCAUUAGCUUCUUUCAAGUGUAGUACAGAGAGAAUGUUAAGAUGCGAAAGCUAGAUUUUUAUGACUAGCCGGAAUUUGAGCCAAAACCCAGCUCAGAAGUUGAACCGUUUUUCUCUCUGAGUCAAUAGGUCAGCAGUUCAACCGUUUGGGUUAAUGGGUCAACCUGCGAUG